rfam:Aedes albopictus isolate Foshan contig110244, whole genome shotgun sequence.
UAGCCUUGUGGUUAAGGCUAUGGAUUGCCAAUCCAGAGACGGCGGGUUCGAUUCCCGU